rnacentral:rRNA from 1 species
CCUACGGGAGGCAGCAGUGGGGAAUAUUGGGCAAUGGGCGCAAGCCUGACCCAGCAAUGCCGCGUGAAGGAAGAAGGCUUUCGGGUUGUAAACUUCUUUUCUCAGGGACGAAGAAAGUGACGGUACCUGAGGAAUAAGCCACGGCUAACUACGUGCCAGCAGCCGCGGUAAUACGUAGGUGGCAAGCGUUAUCCGGAUUUACUGGGUGUAAAGGGCGUGUAGGCGGGGAAGCAAGUCAGAUGUGAAAACCACGGGCUCAACCUGUGGCCUGCAUUUGAAACUGUUUUUCUUGAGUACUGGAGGGGCAGACGGAAGUCCUAGUGUAGCGGUGAAAUGCGGAGAUAAUAGGAGGGACACCAGUUGCGGAGGCGGUCUGGUGGAAAGCAACUGACGCUGAGGGGGGAAAGCGUGGGGAGCAAACAGGAUU